GGAGGCCAGGAGGCCAGCUCGGGGGAAACACUCGUGGAGACAGCCCCUCCAGGACGCCCUGCUCGACAGCCAGGGGCCGGCAAGGGUGUGGACAGAGGGCCCGGACCGGACCCAGACCCCGCACCGUAGGCCACGGCCCACCUGGGUUGCCCUCGCGUGACCACGGCCUCACCUGCUGUCUUCAUCUGCAGGACUGGGCCGGGGUCUGCAGGGCUCAGCUGAGCCCAUGAGCUCCCAGAGCUAACCCCUGAACACCCAGGCGGGCAAAGGGCUGAUGUCGGUAGUCCCCAUCCUGGAGGGGCAGGCUCUGCGCAUCUGCUCCUGGCAUGGCGCUGCGGCACCUCGCCCUCCUGGCUGGCCUUCUCGUGGGAGUCGCCAGCAAGUCCAUGGAGAACACGGCCCACAGGGGACAGAGGGCCACCCGAUGCUGACUCCAGAAGAGGCCGGAGCUGCGGACAUUGAGAUGUGCUCCCACGGCACCCCUCAGCCGCUGCUGCUCUGGGCGUGAGCCUGCCUGGCAGGCGCGUCCUGGAGUUUCACUGCCGUGUCCCCUCCAGGCCCAGCUGCCCGAGUGCUGUGUGGAUGUGGUGGGCGUCAACGCCAGCUGCCCAGGCGCAAGUCUGUGUGGUCCAGGCUGUUACAGGCGCUGGAACGCGGACGGGAGCGCCAGCUGCGUCCGCUGUGGGAACGGAACCCUCCCAGCCUACAACGGCUCCGAGUGUAGAAGCUUUGCUGGCCCGGGUGCGCCAUUCCCCAUGAACAGAAGCUCAGGGACCCCCGGGCGGCCACAUCC
rnacentral:lncRNA from 1 species